AACUCUUAGCAGUGGAUCUCAUGGCUUGCACAUCAAUGAAGAACGCAGCUAGCUGUGGGCAUUCAUGUGAACUGCAGGACACGUUGCUCAUCAACACUGCGAAUGCACUUGUGGCCCCAGGUUCCUCCCGGGGUUAUGUCUGUCUGAACGUGA
rnacentral:rRNA from 1 species